UACGAAGGGGGCUAGCGUUGCUCGGAAUCACUGGGCAUAAAGGGUGCGUAGGCGGGUUUUAAGUCAGGGGUGAAAUCCUGGAGCUCAACUCCAGAACUGCCUUUGAUACUGAAGAUCUUGAGUCCGGGAGAGGUGAGUGGAACUGCGAGUGUAGAGGUGAAAUUCGUAGAUAUUCGCAAGAACACCAGUGGCGAAGGCGGCUCACUGGCCCGGUACUGACGCUGAGGCACGAAAGCGUGGGGAGCAAACAGG
rnacentral:rRNA from 1 species